rnacentral:rRNA from 1 species
AGUGAAUAGAUACCCGGGUAGUCCACGCCGUAAACGUUGGGCACUAGGUGUGGGCUCCAACCAACGGAGUCCGUGCCGUCGCUAAACGCAUUAAGUGCCCCGCCUGGGGAGUACGGCCGCAAGGCUAAAACUCAAAGGAAUUGACGGGGCCCCGCACAAGCAGCGGAGCGUGUUGCUUAAUUCGAUGCGACGCGAAGAACCUUACCUGGGCUUGACAUGCAGGGAAAAGCCGUAGAGAUACGGUGUCCUGGGCCGUUGUCACAGGUGGUGCAUGGCUGUCGUCAGCUCGUGUCGUGAGAUGUUGGUUAAGUCCGCAACGAGCGCAACCCUUGUCCUAUGUUGCCAGCGGAUAACGCCGGGGACGUCGUAGGAGACUGCCGGGUCGAACUCGGAGGAAGGUGGGGCGUGACGUCAAGUCAUCAUGCCCCUUAUGUCCA